GCCCAGCCUUAACACAACAAUUAAACAACCCAUUGUCCGCCAAAUAACUACGAGUAACAACUUAAAAUUUAAAAGACUUGACGGUACCCCACAACAACCUAGAGGAGCCUGUCUAAUAAACGAUACUCCACGAUUAACCCAACCCACCAUAGCCAACCAGUCUAUAUACCGCCGUCGCCAGCCCACCUCCUGAGAGAAUAAAAGUGAGCCAAACAGUUUAUCACUAACACGACAGGUCAAGGUGUAACUAAUGGGUGGGAACAAGAUGGGCUACAUUUUCUACUCAGAACAUACGAAUUAUCUUUGAAAAAACAAUUGAAGGCGGAAUUUAGCAGUAUAUUAAGAACAAAAACACUUAAUUGAAACCAGCGCAAUGGGGUGCGCACACACCGCCCGUCAUCCCUGCAUCCAUAAAUUUCACAUUUAUAAUAACUACACACAUACUAAAACCAGGGCAAGUCGUAACAUGGUAAGCGUACUGGAAAGUGCGCUUAGAAAC
rnacentral:rRNA from 1 species